GCGGGCAGCGGCCAGGGCAGCGCUGCGGAGCUCCUGGCUGCGGCGCGGAGCGGAGCGGAGCGGAGCGGGGCUGGCUCUGGCUCUGGCUCUGGCUCUGCCUCUGGCUCUGGCUCUG
rnacentral:miRNA from 12 species